GGCAGUAUGGCAUAGUGGUUUGAGUGUUGGACCACAAAUUUGGAGAUCAGGGUUCAAUUCCCUGCUUGGCCU
rnacentral:tRNA from 1 species